ACACCAGCCCGGCUAGCAUGGGCAGUAGAUAAAAAUUAUAUCCCCGAUUAUAUCCACUGAUUUCUAUGACAUCAGUGGAUAUAAUCAGGGGAUAUAAUUUUUAUCUACUGCCCAUGCUAGACGGGCUGUUUUACCUAUUAUCUCCCACCAUGUUAAAGCCACCAUGAUCCAAACUUCAUAGUCGAUGUUCCCUGUUAGUUCUUCCCUGUGUUGGGGAGAAUACGUAGAAAAAAUUUCAGUUUCUAUAAAAUAACGAAGGUCUGGCCCUCACGGUCCUUUACUGUAAAGUAUAUUUUAAUUCAUUAUUAUUAAUUUUAUAAUGUCUACUGUUGCUUUAAAUUUGAAUUUUGUUCUUGAAUAAUUAUUGUAUUUUCCUUAUGUCCUUUCUAGUUAGUUAUUUGUCUUCCGGAAGUGUUGUUGUCUAAGAAUUGUUUAAUUUUUUUAUUUAAUUAGAUCAAUAUUGUUUGUUAUGUUGAUAGUUGAUAUAAUAAAUACCUAGUUACCUAAGAAUGAAGAUACUCUUUAUUUUAGUACUUUUGCUUCAUUUGUAUUGACACAAACAAUGUGUUCACUAUUUUAGCUAUAAUAUAAUCGAUAUUUAUAAUUAGGAAAUGAUUAACUAUGUGGAAUAAAAUAUCUUUAUAAUAAAAUGAGUACAAAUUACUUUAUAAUAGUAUGUCUAAAAUAAUAGUAUCACUAUUGCUCUCCAGUUUAUCUUUAUUACACCCGAAAUACCGACUCAAGCUAAUCAAUAUAUAGAUAUAAGUAAGUACCUAGGUACCUACCACUAGGUACUAUACCUACAUUAGCAAUUUAAUAGGUACCUAUAGUAAUAUUAAUAAUGUAAAUGAUAUGCAUUAACACAUUACAAACUCAAUAUAUUUUAUGUAGUUAAAUAAUAUUAAAUAAACGAUGCAAAAUA